CGGAGCCUCGCCGCGGCGGCAGCAACAGGCGGCGGGCUGGGCUCGGGGACGGAGGGGGCGGAGGCGGCGAAAGGGCGGGGAGCGCGAGGAGGAGCGACUGGGCCCCGCCACCGCCGCCUCUUCCCCACUGCAUGGACGAGCACAUCAGCCUUCUGCACUCGCCGCCGCAGCCCUUCGCCCACCACCGCACCCACCCUCCCCAGGACCCUGCGAGCGGCGGCGGCGCCCAGACUCUGGUGAACCCCGGCUACGCCGAGCUCGCCGCAGGCCCCGAGCUGCCGCCCGACAUGACGGUGGUGCCCGGGGACCACCUGCAGGAGCCGGAGACGGCGGACGGCGGCGGAGGCCAGCCUCAGGGCGGCUGUGGCGGCGGCGGAGGCGGUUGUGACCGCUAUGAGCCGCUCCCGCCCGCGCUGCCGGCUGCGGGCGAGCAGGACUGCUGCGGGGAGCGCGUGGUCAUCAACAUCUCGGGGCUGCGCUUCGAGACGCAGCUGAAGACCCUCUGCCAGUUCCCAGAGACGCUGCUGGGCGACCCCAAGCGGCGCAUGAGGUACUUCGACCCGCUCCGCAAUGAGUACUUUUUCGACCGCAACCGGCCCAGCUUCGACGCCAUCCUCUACUACUAUCAAUCCGGGGGCCGCAUCCGCCGCCCGGUCAACGUGCCCAUCGACAUCUUCUCCGAGGAGAUCCGCUUCUACCAGCUGGGAGAGGAGGCCAUGGAGAAGUUCCGCGAGGACGAGGGUUUCCUGCGGGAGGAGGAGCGGCCCCUGCCCCGCCGCGACUUCCAGCGCCAGGUGUGGCUGCUCUUCGAGUACCCCGAGAGCUCGGGGCCGGCCCGGGGCAUUGCCAUCGUGUCCGUGCUCGUCAUCCUCAUCUCCAUUGUCAUCUUCUGCCUGGAGACGCUGCCCGAGUUCCGCGAUGAGAAGGACUACCCGGCCUCGCCGUCGCAGGAGGUACUUGAGGCGGCCAGCAACAGCACGUCGGGGGCUCCCGCGGGAGCCUCCAGCUUCUCGGAUCCCUUCUUCGUGGUGGAGACCCUGUGCAUCAUCUGGUUCUCCUUUGAGCUGCUGGUGCGAUUCUUCGCUUGCCCCAGCAAGGCCACGUUCUCAAGAAAUAUCAUGAACCUGAUAGACAUUGUGGCCAUCAUCCCAUAUUUUAUCACCCUGGGCACCGAGCUGGCUGAGCGACAGGGCAACGGACAGCAGGCCAUGUCCCUGGCUAUCCUCAGGGUCAUUCGCCUGGUGAGGGUCUUCCGCAUCUUCAAACUCUCCCGCCACUCCAAGGGGCUGCAGAUUCUGGGGCAGACACUGAAGGCUUCCAUGCGGGAGUUGGGGCUGCUCAUCUUCUUCCUCUUUAUUGGGGUCAUCCUUUUCUCCAGUGCGGUCUACUUUGCCGAGGCAGACGACCCCACUUCAGGUUUUAGUAGUAUCCCGGAUGCCUUCUGGUGGGCCGUGGUAACCAUGACAACAGUCGGGUAUGGAGAUAUGCACCCAGUGACCAUAGGGGGCAAGAUCGUGGGGUCUCUUUGUGCCAUCGCUGGUGUCUUGACCAUUGCAUUGCCAGUUCCUGUUAUUGUUUCCAACUUCAAUUACUUCUACCACCGGGAGACAGAAGGGGAAGAGCAAGCCCAAUACAUGCACGUGGGAAGUUGCCAGCACCUCUCCUCUUCAGCUGAGGAGCUCCGAAAAGCACGGAGCAACUCGACUCUAAGUAAGUCGGAGUAUAUGGUGAUCGAAGAGGGGGAUAUGAACCACAGUGCUUUUCCCCAGACCCCUUUCAAAACGGGCAAUUCCACCGCCACCUGCACCACGAACAAUAAUCCCAACUCCUGUGUGAACAUCAAAAAGAUAUUCACCGAUGUUUAAUAUAAGAUACGAGUGACAUACUGUGCUAAGUAUUGUGUGGAACGUGCCCCCUUGGUCUGUGAUGCCCUUGUUUUGUACAUUUCCAGACCAUUCAUCAAGGAAAGGACCUGAAGUAGUGGAAAGCACACUUCAUUCUCCCCCUCCCUACUGCUUCAUACUGAAACAGGUGCCUGUGUUGCAGGUGGGCUGCAUUCUCUCAGCUCUCCUUUUGCCCCUCCCCCUCUCUCUUGAUUUUUGUGAUCAACAAUCUUACAUUAAACUUGUUUUCGAGUUACAUGCCCUAUUUAAAAAAAAAAAAAAAAAAGUACAUCCUGGGAGGAAAUGAAACUAAAGAACAGUUGGAGUAACUGUUUAACCUCAAAAUUUAAAAGUAGUUGUUUCUUUACUAAGUAAAGAAGACAAAUAACUUCAAUGAUGCUUUAGUUUGGUGGACCCUUCAACGUUAUUUAUUAAAUAUUUAGUUCAAUUUCUACCGGCUGGGUAUGUGGAUGAGAAGUCUUAACUGGAACUAUGACUGUAAACCCACCAUAAGUUUGGUGUUUGACUGGAGUUUCUAGAUGAAUCCUCUCCUCCCAGAAUCUUAAAGGUCUCUACAACUUUGAACAAAAGGGAAUACCCCAAAACGUCCUGAUCUAAUUACCUUAACUCUUUGGGGCUUGCAAUGCAUUUUGAAAGUCUUUGGACUGACAGAUUCUGGUGAAAUUUAUGCAUAUGUCCCAGCCAACAUCUAUCAAAGUCUAAAAACAGAUGUUUUCAGUGCUGGUGAGAAACAAAAAAAUUUCCUAAUGCAUGUGAGAGAUAAGCUUCUUCAGUAUCGAAAGAAGAUUAAAGUGGCAGACACCCCUUCCAGCAGAAGUUACUAAUUCGGACCUGACUGAUGCAGUUCCCAUAGCAACCCAUGUUUCCUGGGAAACCCGAAAAAGGUUGUCAUGGCAUCUUUUGCUCUCUAGCCCCACCCCCAGCCCCUUCCGUUUCCACAGUAACCUUUCCAGAUGGUUCCUACUUAACGUGAUUUCAUAAGGAAAACCACUAUUUGAAUAAACCGCACAAAUAAAGUUAGGUCUGAGAAUCUAAGGCGGUGAAAAGAACCAGGAAAUGCAUUUUUUUUUUUUGCUAUGAAAAUCAUUGAUGUUAUUCCAUAAUGACUGAAAGAAGGAAAAUAUCAUCUUUGGAAUGUUACAUGUAAACCACAAUAAGACAUGAUCUGAAUUAAAUGCCAGGUGUUAGGUAAUAAUUUUAAAAGAUGCUUCUCUACAGUUUUCUUUCCCCACGAAGUGACAAGCCAACAAAUGGAAUUUAAAAGCAAAUGUAAAAGUGUUCUGUACAUAAGCAAAUGAGAGAUUCCAUGUUCCUGAAACUACUACAAGGGACCUUCAGAUUUCCUCACUUAAAAAAAAAAAUUACAAAGACAGGUCCUACAACCUGUCACCAUCACAGCACUUGAAAAGCUAAAUAAACUUCAAAUAUGUAAAGGAUGCACAUUUUUAACUGAGGGAAUUACAGGCAAUCAACGAAAAGAAGGAUUGGGAAGAAACCAGACCUUGAGGGAACACCUGCAAGUGUCGGCCAUAUGCUAAGGGUUGCCUGCAGACAAACAGAAUCAGGUGAGCACUGGGUGGUCCUUUGUACAGGGAUCAAGGGAAAUGUCAUUCAUAUGUAUAUUAAUGAGACUUCCAAAACCAAUAAUUUCAUAUCAAUUAUCUGCCAACUGGCUCUUAAAAGGUCAUUUACAGCAACUGACAUUUUUUCAUAUAGCCAUUAUCAUUUGGUUUCAUUGUUUAUUGCAAAAGAAUGAAAAAAAUCAAUUAUCUUCACAAUAACUUUCACCCAAACUGAACUGAAAAUUAUUCCAUUAUUUUUACCUACUCACUUGGCUUCUGAACAACCUGUUUCUCCUUUAAAAAGAAAAAAAGGCAGAAUCUUCAGUUGUUAGAUUACUGGUUCGGUUUUCAUUUACAUAAAUUAUUUAUUAGUAUUCAGUAGUGCAGUUCUUUGAAACAAAUGGUUAAAAUUGAAAAAAGUAAUGUUUUACUUAAACGUAAUCAUUUUGCAUAUGUAUUAUGUAUAUGUAUGUAUACACACACACACAAAUAUACAUUAUGCACAAUUGCCUUUUGGUUUUGAUAACACAUUACUAUUCUGUCCUUUCAGAGUAAAUGAGAGUAGACCUAUCUUAAAGCUCAUAAAAUAUUUUCAGGUUGUCAGAAGCCCACCUCCCUUAUUACUUGUGCAUUGGAGACAAUGGGGAAUAAUGAUUGAGACUAUCAUAAGAGGGGGAAGAAGAAAGAAAAGACCAGCUCCCCCCGCACCAACAAACAAAAUAGAGACAAGAAAUCUGUAUGUACCCUGUCACGGGGUUGUUGUUUGUUCUUAUCUAGGUGUAUCUAAAGAGGACUCAUGUAUCUAGUUUCCUUUGUUUCUUGUUUGAGUUACUUUUAAUGUUGAUGUACUUUAAUGAAUGAAUAGUAAUGACCAUAUAUUCUUUUUUUUUGACCCAUUUUGAUAAUAAUGUUGGAUAUAAUAUAGCAAUCAUAUAAAAAUAGUUUUUAUCUGUUCCUAAAAGAUCUUAACAUAAAGAUGAGCAAAGUGCAGUGACAAUUUUAUUCCUGUUUAUGCAAAGAAUAUAGAAACCUCAAUUCAUUCCAUAAAGAAAUUAUAGCUAUGCCAUAAUUUUUUGUGUGACAGUAAUUAAAAAGGGAACUUUUUUUUCUAUCCAGAGAAAUAGCACAGGUUUUGGGUCAUAACUUUGAGGGUGUAUAUUGCUGCUAGUCGCCAUAUUGGAUGCUCCUUAAAGGUUAUAGGUUUGUGUUUUGAUUUUUGGAUAGUAGUACCUGGCACAGAAUGUAGCACCUGGUAUGUUUGUUGAGUGAAUGCCUGUUAUCUUACAUUAAUUCUAUGUCUGGGCUUUGAAUGAAGUGAUUAAAAAGCAUAAGCUGUGCAGUCAUAUUGCCAGGGUUUGAAUCCUGACUCUGCUGUAUGACCUUGAGCAAAUUACAUAACCUCUCUGUUCCUCAGUUUCCUUAUUUGUAAAAUGAGGAUUGUAAGUAGCACUUUAUAUGUUUUUGUGAAUAUUACAUGUUAACACAGAGCACUUAAAAAAAUAAUUGCAUGGAAUGCAUCAGAGAUUUUGCUAAGAUUAUAUUUUGUGAUCAUUACUCACAAGCAUUGUGUGAUUAAUGCAAAGCUUUGUGAAUAUGAAAUACACAAAUAAUCAAUGGCUUCCCGUUUCCUUUGUAAAUAACAGUAAUAAUUACCAUUUGUUAAGGGUCAACCAAGCCUUGGACAGUUGUCAAUUCUGCAAGGUAAGUGCCAUUAACUUCAUUUUAGGAGGAUGAGAAAUAGAUGGCUGAAGUUAAAUGAUUUCCCUAAGACUCCAAGAGAUCCAAUGACAAUUUAAAGUCAGGUCAUUCUGGCUCCAAAACCCAUGACUUAUAUUAAGUGAUUUAAAUAUAAAAUAGCAAUAAGCCCCUUAUGCUUUUAGGUUUGACUUCAGCCCAUGUUACUAAUGAAUGAAUUUAUAUAAAGAAAAUACUUCAGAAACCUAUUCAUUCAGUAAAUGAAAAUUAACCCUUUCUUAAUAAUCAGAUUUUUUAUCCAGAAGGAUCAAAUAUAUUAUUUAAAUUGAAUAAAAAUAUGGACUUUUCUAGUAGUAAAAGAUUAUUUUCUUAUGAUUUGUUUAUCUGGAUUUAAUCUUAGAAAGCAUAAUCAGUCUACUAGUGACACCUACUAAGACUAUGGAUAUUUAUCAGAUUUGAGAUAAACUUCCUGUUUUCAUGUGUUUUAAUCAACAAUCGAAGAUAGUCUUAUGCAACUUAUUGUUUUUCCAUCUCCUUACAUUUUGCUUAAGUUACUGAAGACCAGAGAAACACGCCAGAGAGCUGUGUAAACAUGUUGACUCUCCCUUUAUAAAGGGAGAAAUUGCUCAGAACAGGAGGGUUGAAAGCUAAAGGAGAUUGCCAGUUCCUUGAAAUGUGUGACAUUAUUGCUUUACAAAACCACCCCCUGGAUCCUUAAGAGAAUCUGUGUGCUAAAAAACAUUAGGAUAUAAUUUUGCCACACGUACUAGCUGUAGCCUCCUCACUAAAGUCCGAAGUCAUUUAUGAAAUAAAAGUAGAUCAUGAUUUGGGCUUAGAGAAAAAUGCUAAUGAGUCACAUUUGCCAAUGCCAGUUAGCUUUUCCGAACUACAGGCUUCACUGGUGAGCUCAGUUGUGUGUUUUGGGGGUUGAAAAAGUAAACAUAUGUCAGUGUAUAGUAAGAGAUUCUGGUAAGGGGUAUGACUGGAUCCAGGCACAUCCAUCAGCACCUGGUGGGGGUGUAUGUGUCCUGCAGCUGGUGAAUCCAGAAAGAAACAUGGAAGCUAACACUUGUUAUGAUUUUAUUUUAUUUUUUAUGUUCUGAACUAAAGUUAUACCAAACUCACAUAUCCACCAACUAUGGUGACAUAACCAUAGACACCUACACAGAUGAGAAAAUGUUCUAUCAGUUAUUUCUAAACUUCUAAAUAGAAUUUCAGAAUUGAAAUUUUAAAUGCACAGUCUGAAGAAAUUUGAAGUUAUGGUUUGUUUACGUAAAACUUGUUAUUACAUAAAACUUGCUAUUUGCUUCUUUACAACCUACUCAAGUGAUUACUUUGCUGAUAGUAGAUUAAAUACAACAUAUAGAGUGUAUGCCAAUAGUUUACUCCUGUGAGAACCAUAACUAUUAAUUUAUUGACUUCUAUACAUUUAAAAUUUCAACAUUCUCUGCAGCAGUUCCAAGCUCUUCCCACCUCUCAGCUGUGAAUAGAAGUGAUAACCCCUCCCACUAAGAAAUGCAGAGAAGCACACGUAUCCCCCAGUCUGAAGACUUACGGAAAACUGUGAGUUAGAGGUGAGGAGCAUGAGAACGGGGAAGAGAGGAUAUUUAGGGAUCACAUUUUAGGAUUUUUUUUUCUAUUUUGUAAUUGGUUGUGGCAAAUAUAUAUAUGAAAUCACUUGUUUUUUAAACAUCUUCAGGGAGUGGUUGGCAACCUUUGAAAAAAAAUGGUAAAUCAGAGGAGGCAGGAAGAAGAAGGAAGGAGAAGUAACAGAGAGCUCAACCUCACUGUUGUGACUCAGCUCUCAACUUCCUGCCAGAGAAUGGCCAUUGCUAUAUAGCAAAAAAAAAAAAAAAAAAAUGAUAUCAGUAUUCUUUAUAUACUCAUAUUCAGCUUGUAAAUAUAACUAAAUGAUUCAGACUAGUUUUCGAAGGUUGAUAGCUGGAUGCCUUGGUUUUUAAUGAUGCCGUGAACUAAUUUUCCAAAUUGUAAAGAAAUAUACAUUUUACAAAGAAAUGUUUUCAUGGUUUUUUCUCACUUUUCCUCCUUAGAUUUCAAAUUUGUACCAUCUCUUAUCAAAUGCCUUAAAGGAGAGACCUAGAAAAGAGGCUCCAUCAUUUUCUUGGGAACCAUGUUAUUUAUGUUGUAACCUAAAUAGUGCAGAAUAGGAACUCUGUCCUGAAAAGAAAAAAAAAAAACUGAGUUUCUAAUCAUUAAUAAAUAAUAUAGCAAUUAGAUGGUUAAAAAUGAUAUUUUAUCCUAGGUGAAGAAUGUUGUGAAUAAGUCUGUUCAUGCAGGAUUCUGUAGACACAAGGGUCAUACCCCUUGUGGUAGUGAGGAGGGGAAGCUUUUUCUCCUCCAGUGAACUUCUAAGCCCACGCCCCUUGUCGGAGCACAAAGUCUCUUGGGAAUCUGUUGAGAUCCCCACUGAUGUUUCUGUGGCCUUACACCUUACACCCGCAGUUUCCAUCCUUUCCUGUGCUUGACUCUUCUUCCUGUGGCACCCUGAGUGAUCCUUUUAAAACAUUUGUCAGGUCAUGUUACUUCUUUGUAUCAUCACCCACACAGAGUACAAACCGAAGGCGGUAUAAUGGCUUGCAGGACCCCACCUAACUCAGCUUCUCUUACUCUUUGGGCCUUGGUUGCCACUGUCCUGUGUAAUCCUGUGCUGCACCCACACUGGCCUCCUUACUCUGGUUCCCUCACAGCAGGCAGGCUCCACCCUGGAAUCUUUAUACUUGCUGUUCCAAGGCCUAGAAUGUUCUGAAAUCAAAUCUGAUACCUUAUGACAUCACCUUCAGGUGUGUGACCUUCUCAUUGAAGCUUUCCCUGGCCACUCUGUUUAAAAUCACAAUUCCAUAAUAUUCCCUGUAUCCUUUUUAUGCUUAAUUUUUCCUCUGAUAUAUUAGAUAUUUCAUUUACUUGUUUUAUGGUCAUUUUUUCCCCUUUCCUUCCACGAAGACAUGAAGUUUUGUGUGUUGUUUGUGCUAUAUUCCCUAAGACUUGGAAAUGCACCUGGAAUACAGUCGGGAUUCAACCAAUAUUUAUUGGAGUGAUCUAUGAAAGAAAGAAUCUGGUUGUCCCAAUUGGAAUUGUUUUUGUCCUCUGAAAUUUUUGUGUUGUGCUUCAUUUUCAUUACUGUGUGGCUUAUAUUCCUUACAAGGUGCUGUGGAUAAAAUUCCUUAUGUUCAGGUGACUGUGGAAGCUUCCAUUCGGUAAAACAUACUUCAGUACUACCCAGUUAUAGGAAUAAAAUUCCUUCAUGUAACUUAAACAUUAGACAUCGGCAAGGGUACCUGAAAGUUAGGCUGCUUCACAAUAGCUAAUGGAGUGCUUUUUAUAAAUGGUACAUUACACAGCAGCAUCAGAACAAAUAAUGUGUCCAAGAGACUUGUCUAUCUAAUAGACAUUCAAAGAAACUUCCCUGUACGUUCACAUUUGAAUUCAGUUAAUGAUGAGUCCUAAAAAUCCAUGAGGUCUUCAUUACUAUGAAAGAUGAUUGAAUUAGGCAUUAGAGAUUCACCAGUGAAUCAUGUUACAAAACUCUAUCACUGAUGCGGCCUCACCAGAUAAAAUCACUUAUACCAAAUACUUUUAAAUGCAGUUAUCAAGUAAUAUGAUAGGUGUUUUAGUCAGCAUUCUUGUUGCUGUGACUAAAAGACCUGACCAGAACAAUCAGAGGAGGAAAGUUCAUUUUCUCAGUUUCAGAGGUGUCAGUCCCUAGAAGGCUGACUCCAUUGCCCGAGGUGAGGAAGAACAGCAUGGCAGAAGUGCGUGACAGAAGAAGGCAGCUUAGGACAGACAUGGCAGUCAGGGAGUAGAAAGAGCUCCACUGACCAGGGACAAAAUAUACACCCUAAAGCUAUAUACCCGUGACCUAUCUCCUCCAGCCAUAUCCUACCUACCUUCUGUUACCACUCAGUUAAUCCAUGUCAGUGGAUUAAGGCACUGUUUGGGUGGAGGCUCUCUUAACCCCAUCAUUUCUCCUCUAAACUUUUUGCAUUGUCUAAAACGUGAGCUUUGGGGGGGACACCUCAUAUCUAAACCAUAAAAGUCAGUUGUGUUUUACAUGAAAGGAGACGAGGGACAUUUCACCCAUGAAAAAUAAGUGCAGAUUGUUAGAGUGACUUCAAUAAUGGCAAAACUUAGACUGCUUCAGCAACCUAGUUGUAUAUGUUGGUGUUGGGGUAUUCCUGGAAGCUCUGGAAAAGUGAAAUGUAUAAUAUAGAAUGAUGGAAACUAAAGCAUUGGUUUGAGUACUGCAGAUAGCACCAUGAUCUUAGGUAAUAUUGUGACAGAUGUACUUUCCUCUGCGGCAGGAAAGGAGGAUUCUCCUAAUAUGAGUAAAGAGCAAGUUUCUCCACACCCCUUCUGAAUUUCUGCUUUACUGGAUUUCUUAGGCAAAACAGACCAAAGAAUGACCUGGCUAUUGCCUCUGCACAUCCAAGUAGCACAGUUUCCUUACCAAAUGUGUCAACAGAUUGGAAAUUGAUAUGCUUGAGUUUAUAUGUAGUCCAAUAGAAGUUAGGAUUUUUUUUUCUCUUUUUAUCAGUUCAUCAGUUAAGCCCACAUAGGAAUUCUGAGGAUAAAUGAUUAGGGCUUUUUUAUGACACAAAAUAGAGAAUUAAAAUUAGUGCUUUAAUUUCUUAUUUUUUUCUGGUUUUGGAUGAGGGAUUUGUGACAUUAUUUAUUUUUAUUAUUUAAUUCAACAUGGACUUCACUGAAUAGUAAAGAGACAACCUCAAGUGUCAUUGCAUUUUUAGUUAUUUCAUGUAAGACUCCCAAACAAUAAAAAUCAGAUAUUCACUAGUACACAAUCUCUAUAAAAAAUCAUGAUGAAAAGCAUGUUAAAUAAGAUUUCCAAAGGGAAAAAAAUUACUGGACAGGCAAGAUUUAUAGAGGUAAUUUAUCCAAGUAAGAACUGUUUUGCUUUAUGUUUAUGUUCUGUGGACCUUUUGCCUGCAAACAUUUAACUGAUUUCAAAAGAGAAAUUUAUUUUACCAUGUAACUGUGAAUGACACCUAUUACUAAACCUAAUUAUUGCUCAAAGUAGUAUUGAUUAUAUUUUAAAGCUCAUUUUCCCAUGGUGUUGUAGUUAGUUUUUCCCCUGACAUGACCAAAAGGCCUGACAAGAACAAUUAGAGGAGGGAAAGUUUAUCUGGGGGCUCAUAGUUUCAGAGGUCUCAGUCCACAGAUGGCCACCUCCAUAUCUCUGGACCCAAGGUGAGGCAGAAUAUCAUGACAGAAAGUUCACAGCUGAGGAAAGCCAUUUGGGAAAUGGGAAUUAGGAAACAGAGAGAUUCUCCACUACAAAAUGUGUGCCCCAGAGGCACACCCUCAGUGACCCACUUGCUAUAGCCACACCUUUCCUGGCUAUAGUUACCAUCCAGUUAAUUCCCAGCAGGAUUAUUUCACUGAUUGGGUUAAGGUUCUCAUAACCCAGUCAUUCAUCUCUUAAGUUUCUUUCAUUCACCUCUUAACUUUCUUUCAUUCACCUCUUAACUUUCUCUCAUUGUUUCACACACAAUGAGGGGGACACCUCAUAUCUAAGCAUAACACAUGACUUCCCAGCUUUUGACAAAGUUCACAUCUUAGCAUAUUACUAACUUUAAUGACUAAGUGAGUUUAAAUCUAUUUUGCCUGCCAAAGUACAUAAUUUCCUAGACCCCAAUCAGAAAAUUGUAUGCAGUGACCAAGAAAUCUUACUAGUCUUUGUGUUUACUCACUGUUUAGUUAGUAGAAUUUGUAGAACUUAUUGGUGUGCUGCUAAUUCUAAGAAAUUUAAUAGUUGUUGCAGUAUAGACACAUGAAAACAAAGUUCCCAUAAAUCUACAUGUUUCAAACUGACUUCAACAAUUUCCUCAUAAAAUGCAAAUUAGUGAGGCCAAUAGUUAAUGAAGCUGAGUCUCUUUUAUUUAGGUCUUGGUGGAGAAUUAAUUAACUUCUUCACAACUGAUAAUUAUUGAAAUUUGUUCUUAUCCUCUUUUCUUGCUUUAUAUGCUAAAACAUUCAUUUGAUCAAAUAUAUUUGAUUAUAGAUCACCAUUUUCUACUAUAUCUCUUUUCUCUCAUUUUUUUUAAUGGAGUGAUUUUUUUUUUUUUGGUGGCACUGAAGAUUGAACCCAGAGCCUUGCACAUUCAAGGCAAGCACUCUACCAACUGAGCUAUAUCCCCUGCCCUUGAUUUUGAUAAUGUACUCAGAUGUUCAUUAUUUUCCUUUCAACCCACUUCUUAGCCACUAGGAUAAACAUAAUGAUUAGUAUUCAGAUAUUACUUAUAUUUUUGGUUUCUGAUGAAGUACAACUCCCUUCACACCUAUAAUCUAUUAGAAUGCCAUAAUAUACCAAACUUAUUUAAUAAUAUCAAGAUCAUUGAGAGGCAGGUAUUAACACAGAAGGCUAGAAAAGAAAGGCCCAAUCCCUUAUAUAAAAGGGAUGGAACACCAGCAGGUCAAGUGUAACUUACCAGAACCAUUGCAGUAGUGAGCAAAGACCAGGCAGUAACAUCAAUGCCAGAUCAUUCAUAGUACUUUUAUUUUCUUGUUAGUAGUCUUUAAUAACUAUUACGCCAUUGUAAUUUUCAAACUCUCAUAGUGAAUCCAGACGUAUGAGGAAAGCUUUAGUAGGUGAUUGCCCAGCACACAGUAGGUGUGUAGUAUUUAAUUUCCAUUAGAAGCACACUCACAUUACAGAUCAUCAUCUUUGGGUAUGUGGUUGGGAGACAUCUGCUAAAACCAGGAGUAUACAUGGGAAACGGUCUUCUCUGUCUACUACAGUAGAUAAUAUUCACAUAUUGAAGCCUGGAUUUAGCAUUCUAUUUUUGUCUUUGUAAGUAUCCUUUAUAUUAUAUAACUGGUAAGUUUCUCGAGUGUAUAAGUAUGAUUUUAAUGUAUCCUCUAUUCAUUCAACGUAUAUUCACUGAGGACUUCUUGUGUAUUAGGUGCUGAAAAGUGGUAAGGAUGUAUUCAUCCAUUUUAUAUCUAAAGCAUGUAUUGUGUGCCAAAGACUACUCUGGAUUCUAGAUAUAGCAGUAAAGAACACUUUCAUGUUCUGAUUUUUUUUUAAAUUACUGUCUAUAAAUUUUUUUUUAGUUUGUGGGAGGAGCACCAAACCUGUCACCCUUAUUUUUUAGUUCUCCACAGACCUGAUGUUGUUCUAGUUCAUGAUUCUUUAAAGUGGCCCAUACCUGUGCAGAGGUCAUAUUUUAAAGUAUCAGUAGAUUUGAAAAUUAUUUGUAAUAAAAAGAAACUAACUAUAGGCUAGCAUCCUGUGGCUCUAGAACAUGGCUCUCAUCAGUACAGGACUCAUUCUGAGACUGGCUGUCUGUCUCCCUCACUCCCUCUCUCCCUCUCUCUGCCUCUUUUUUCUAUCCAUUUAGAAGAGUUCUCAUCUUAGGUAACCAUAGUAGGAUGAUCAGAAAAGAAGCAUACCCUCAGAAAUACAUUUAGAAGAUUAAUACAUGUAUUUUUAUAAAAAUCAGUGGACACUCAGAAUCUCUCAGAUGGUUCUAAGAAGGAGGAUAAAUUUUCAUGUUCAGAAAUCCAGUUAUCAUACAAGGCUGGAUCAAAUUUGGGCAUCAUUAUUAAUGAAAAAGAAUGUAUAAUUUCAGAUAAUUUGAAAUUUUUUCUAACUUAAAAGUGUUUGACAUGUGGUUAAUACCUUUAGGAAAUUAAAUUGAUUGAACUUUUCUUUUUUAUUAAUUUUUUAUUUACAUAUGACAGCAGAAUGCAUUACAAUUCUUAUUACACACAUAGGGCACAAUUUUUCAUAUCUCUGGUUGUAUACAAAGUACAUUCACACCAAUUCAUGUCUUCAUACAUGUACUUUGGACAAUAAUCUACAUCACAUUCCACCAUCAUUUCUAACCCCAUGCCCCUCUCUUCUCCUCCCACCCCUCUGCCCUAUCUAGAGUUCCUCUAUUCCUCCCACACUCCCCCUCCCUACCUCACUGUGAAUCAGCCUCCGUAUAUCAGAGAAAACAUUCUGCAUUUGUUUUUUUGGGAUUGGCUAACUUCACUUAGCAUUAUCUUCUCUAACUCCAUCCAUUUACCUGCAAGUGCCAUGAUUUUAUUCUCUUUUAUUGCUGAGUAAUAUUCCAUUGUGUAUAUAUGCCACAUUUUUUUAACCAUUCAUCUAUUGACGGGCAUCUAUGUUGGUUCCACAGUUUAGCUAUUGUGAAUUGUGCUGCCAUAAACGUUGAUGUGGCUGUGUCCCUAUAGUAUGCUAUUUUUAAGUCCUUUGGGUAUAGAAAGAGGAGAGGGAUAGCUCCGUCAAAAGGUGGUUCCAUUCCCAAUUUUCCAAGAAAUCUCCAAACUGCUUUCCAUAUUGACUGCACCAAUUUGCAGUCCCACCAGCAGUGUAUGAGUGUACCUUUUCCCCCACAUCCUCGCCAACACUUAUUGUUGUUUGUCAUCAUAAUAGCUGCCAUUCUGACUGGAGUGAGAUUAAAUUUUAUUGUGGUUUUGAUUUGCAUUUCUCUAAUUGCUAGUGAUGAUGAACAUUUUUUCAUAUAUUUGUUGAUUGAUUGUAUAUCAUCUUCUGAGAAGUGUCUGUUCAGGUCCUUAGCCCAUUUAUUGAUUGGGUUAUUUGUUUUUGUUUAUUCAACAGAUUCCUGAAGAGCCCCACAUAAAGAACUGUACAGCAGCACUAACCAGUGGAAUACUCAGUUUUGAAUUGCCUGGAUCAAGAAUGCAGUGGCAGUUAAACCACUGAGGGUGGUGAUAUGUCUGCCAGCACAUAUUUUCAUUUCAGUUGACAUUAAAUAAUAUGUGUCUAACAUAUGCUUUACAUGAAGAAAAUGGCUCAGAGCUGGAGGAUUCUCUUCAUAUUAUGUGCAGUAUGAAAGAUACUGGUCAAGAUACAAAGAAGAAUGUUAAAUAAGGUACCAUUUCAACCUUUUGACAUUUUGAUGAAAGCUAUUCAUCUGAAAACUAUAAUCAGUGUUACAGAUGAAGAAAAUCUAAAUGUUUGGUUCUAACAAGCUAACUAUUACUGUUUUAUUUUGUUUUUAAUUAAUUACCGGACUGUAUUUAAUCAUGAGAUACAUGUGUUGUGUUCUGUGUUCUGAGUCAUGUGAAGUUUGAUUUUGCAAAGAUGUGCUUUGUACCAAAGGCUCCCAUACAUAGAGCAGCCCAUUUACAUGUAAUAAGUGAAGUCUACACUGUGCCCAGAUAAAUAAUAUUAAAGACAGACUUGCCCAAAAGAAAUGUGCCUUGCUCAAUUAAACAUUCUUUUAUUUUUUAAUUCAAAAUUAUAGAUUUAAAAAUUAGUCAUAUGGGUAGGUUUUAGUUGAUCUUAACAUCAUGGAAAUAUAUUAGUACUUACUAUAUGUUUGUCAUAUAUUAACUAAAAUUUUAACAUUUAAUUGAUACUUUUAAACAGUUCAUAUAUAAUGUAUUAAUUCAAUUUUAUUUUCAUGGGAUGUUUGAUGUAGUGAGACAAAGCACAUUCCAAAAAGCUAUACAUAUAUAUAUACAUAUAUAUAUACUUAUAUAUUUCAUCUGAUGUUUAUAGCUUUUCCUUCAAAAUUAUAAGUGAAAAAGAUUCCUUGACUCAUUUCUAUUUUUAUAUUCUUUUAGAAAUGGAGCUCUUUUUCAACUAAAAGGAAAAAAAAACAAGAUUUUAGUUGGAAAAGAGAUUUAGGAAGUCAUGAAGAUCGUUUCCUAUUUGGGGACAUUUCACUUCUGUGCCAUUAUCAAUGUAUUUACUGUGACAUUUCAGCAGAAUGGUAGCUAUUUGUAUAUUAUUUGAUAAGCCUUAUGGAAAGUCAAACUGUGAACAUUUAGUAUAUAGAAUCUAGUAUAUGGAAGACUUUUUCAUUUCCAUAUUUUAUUUUCAAAAUACAUCUGAAUAAGCACAUAAAUAACCACUCUCCUGUUACUUAAAUACAUAACAAUGCUAAAUUAUGAUAAGAACACUUAUGGAAUUUUAAUUUCCAUAAAAUUAUUUCAGUGACAAAGCCAAUAUUUUAAAAACUUUUUGGUGCCCUAUAGAAGGAAAUGCAGGUGGUGAAUUUCAUUAAUAUAUAAGAAUCAUUAACUAAACAAUCAUACACCUACUAGCAACAAAACAGAUGGAUAGGAGGUACAAUCCAGGUAACUUUCUUUGAGGCAAUGUCUACAAUGAAUUUUUCACAAUCUGCUGGUAAUUUCUUUGUGAUCAAAAUUGAAGCCUAGAUCACUAUAGGAAAAAGUGAAGUAAAGGAAUGACAACUAUCUCAAAUGUGAGCUAUGUGAACCUUCAAUCAUGAUGAUUUGUGACUAAAAUAUAGCCCCCACUUUAUUUUUUUUCUAUGUUAGCCCAUGUAGUAGAGAUACUGUCCCAGGAAACAGCCAUUCCAUGGCAGCCAACUUAAUCCUCAUAACUGACGAUCACAGACUGGUGGGCAAGAAAAUAAUCUAUAACAGCAAUGGGGACGAUUGAAACAAACUGAUCAACUGUGUGAUAGGAGUUCUAGACAUUCAGAUAUUUUAGAAAGGAUUGGUAGGUAUUACAAAAAUAGACACAAAAAUUGCCUUCAUAAAUCACCAGUGGCACAACUUAUAGUAUAUAUCAUAUCUGAGUCAUUAUCAUAAGCUACAGCUUAAAAUAAAGACAAAACCUGAACUUUUACAGUAAAAGCACAGAAUAGUAUCAAAUGAGAAACCUGUCACACCAGAUACAGAGUGGAAAUAGUACCAGCCUAGAUAAUGGGAGACCAGAAUUCUUGCUUACUUCCUACCUGUGGGACCCUAGGUAAGACAGUAACCAUUGCUAGGCUUCAGUCUGCCAGGUGUGCUGGUUCAGUAAUCCCCAAAGCCCUUUUCAGCCUCCAAACCUUGUUAUGCACAUUUCUUGAAAAAAAUGCUUUGAAGAAUGCUAUCUUUUGCAUUUCUGAAGAAAAGAAUAAAUUGAAAUAAGAUUUAAGCCUUGAAAGUAUCAAGUUGAUCAUUCUUCAAUUGGGUGUGAGAAGAGGAAAUAGGAUUCUUUAUCCUCUAAGAAUUUUUACUCAUCUGUAAUGGGAACAUGAAAAGGUAAAGAAGAAAUCACUGGUGAAGGGAAACAGAUUAAUAGCUAGAAAGUGGGGAAGAUAUUUGUUAAAUAUAUGUUCAAUAUAAUUUGAUGUUAAGGUGAUUUUCAAAUUGUAUCUGAAAUGCUAAAAUGGUUCAGAGCUUUAUUGCACACUCAAAAUUUUACGUUUGGAGUAGGGGAAGGUGGAAGAAAGAGUAAUAGGGAUCUCUUGAUUCUUUUUACACAAGAGAGCUUUUAAGCAGGUAAAUGGCUCUGCCAGUAACUCUCAAUUACCCCAAGAAAGUCCCUUUAACUUCUCAGAGCCCCAAAUUCUUUGCCUGUUAAGUGAAUAAGUUAAAUCUAGUAAUCUCUGUUUCUUUUUAUCUUCAAAAAUUCUACGACACUUUAAGAUGGCUAUAAUUUAUGCAUACAUGUACAUGUUGCCCCCGCCCCCGUCGCUAAGAUGCCACAUCUCUCUACUUACGUGACUAAACAGAUUGCAAAUCCAAAUGUUCAUGUUUCUACUUUUACUAAUUGACCUCAACAAGACAUUAAAAAAGGUAAAUCUUAUUUUCAUUCUGACCAUAGAUUACUUAUGAUUUCUUAUUUUAUCUUGGAAUACAGAGUUAGUUACCUAAACAGAAUGUCUGUUCAAGUUACUCUUUAAAUUUUUGUAGUUUAAUAAACAUUUAGCAUAUCAGAAUCAAAAUAUUGUGCUCACCAAUGAACUAUAGCUGAUUGUAAGGUACAUCUUUGUCACACUUAAAAGUUAAUCCCCUUUUGGUCCCAGAAGCAAUGACUGUAGUAUAACAUAAAACUUUGUGAAUUUAUCUGGAUACAAAGGAGGCCUAAUAGAGCCAGAUUGUAACUAAUUUUGCUCAGGAGUGAGAAAUAAAAUUCAGGGAUAACCCAAACACUUUUGCUUGGCAUUAGCGGACAGUUAAAAAAAAGAAGGGUAAUAGCUUUUGCACAACAAAGUUAACAGGUAACUGUACCCACUGACAAACAGGAUAUAUUCUGGAUGCUGGUUUUAUGGUAGAAAGAGGUUAGGUUAGAAGAAUGCUAGAAUUUGGACACUAGAGAAAUUAUUAAAAUGCUAGCAAUCCAUUUGAUUAAUACAGAAAUAUUUUGUCAUACUGAGAUUAUUUGUCCAGAAGUUUAGUCUUAUAUCCCUUCCAUUCAGAAAAGGGGGCAAUUUUUAAAGGCCUCUGUCAUAAUAGGAAAUGUAUAUUUUGACUAGUGGAGAAACUAAGUAAAACAUUUAAUCUAAUAAUUUUGAGUUUUGUGAAUCUGAAUUUUCACUUUAGGUGUAAUUGAAUGUCUUAUGUGUUAGUGUUAAUGAUCUUUGUGAGAAGUGAUUUCCAUGUUUUUUUAAAAGUUGGUGAAAUUUGCAAAGUGGUGAUUCUGGCAUAUUGUGUUAAUAAUACUCUACCUUUCAACCAUUUGUGAACUGACUGUACUAAACAAACCAUAGUAGUAUCUCUUCUGGUAAAUUGUUUCUAUGGUGUGAUCUCUUAAUGCUGGGUUUGGGGUGGGGGAGGUUAAGUAUUUAGUUUCAUCAUCAAAUUGUCAAAGUGUUUUUCUUAAAUGCCAUAAAAUUGUGUGACUAUAAACCAAAUUUAAAAAAACCUCUUUUUUUUUUUUUUAAUUUUAAGGGCCUUGUAUAGACCAUUAUGGGAACUACACCAUAAAAUGGUAUCAUUUAUGUUAAAAAGUUUAUAUAUAUAUGUGUGUGUGUAUAUAUAUAUAUGCACAUGCACACACACAAGGGAAAGCAAAACAGUGUAGUUUGUAGAAUUUCUAUGUAAUAUGCAAAAUGUUAUAAGAAUGGUUUUGAAAUACCAGAGAUGGUAAUUAUGCAGUGAUCAGAAUAACAAAUACCACUUCAAGUUUUUCAUUUAUUUACGUAGAACAUCUAUAUUCUACUUUGUAAAGAUCAUGCCUAUAUUGUAUUUAAUUUCUAAAACAUCCUCAUGAAGUGUUAGUUCCACCUGAAGUUUAGAGAUUGAACAGUCUAAGUUUAGAAGGCUCAAAUGACUUGUCCAAGAUUGUUUGGUCAAUAAGUGGCUCUAGAUCUCAUGUUCUUUAGACUUUCACUCUCUGUCAUUUUGUAUUCAUCCUAUUUCUGCCUUUAUGUUUAAAACUUUGACUAAAAUUUAAUUUUAAAAGAAAUUUGGAAAAUUUGAGGGUUUGGUGAAAAUGCAUUGCUGCUAUUAUCAACAGACCUUUUUAGAUACUUCCAAACCAGUCCUUCACCAGGAAUAUUCCACCUGAAACUUAUUAAGUUCACUCACCCUGACCAUAGACAGUAGAUUCCUUUGAUAUUGAAAUGCUAGACUGAAAAAUGAUCUUCUUCACUGAUCUAAUUUCCUUUUUAAAAAUCCACUAUAAUUACUGAUUUCUGAACAGUUGAAAGAAGCAAUACAAGAAACUGUAGCCAUUCUGAUACAGAGAGAAAAAAAUUACUAGAACCACCAAAUUAACCAUAUUCUAGACUCUUAUUUCUCAUCACACACUUUCUGUGAUUAGGAGAGUACAAGGAAGGAAAAGUGGGGAAGAAAAUUAUAUUUUAAGAAAACUCAUAUUUUCUGUAAUUAUAUAAAAAGAUUUGAUUAUCAAGUAUUAAGGUAGCAGUAUUACUAACAUUUAACCAUAGUUCAAAUAUUUGUUAAACUUUCUCCACAUAUUUGAAAAUGCACUUAAGGGUUUUCCCAGCUAAAAUCUGAUGACUGCUCAGUUUGAAUGUGGAGAAUAUUCAUGCAUUAAUCUAGGACAAAUACAUUUUUAUUCCUUUUCAAACAACAGGUAGGCACUGUUAAUGCUUUCCCUUGUAAAUCAACAGUCUGUGAUACAUUAUGUACUUUUACUGACUCGCAAUGCAAUGCUACUGUGAAUAUUUAAGUGAACAUGUGCUUAUUAUAUAAGAAAUUAAAAUUUUCUAACCUUAAAGUUAGUUCUCUUCAUCAAAUAGAUAAGUCAAACAAGUACUAUUUUGUAUGGAAUGAAGUAAUAAUCAUUCUUAAUUAUAAUAACAAAUAAUGGAAUUCUGAAUAUGAUGUAAAACCAAACAUACAUUUUUUAAUUUUUUCUAUAUUCACUUUUUUUGACAUUGGUUUAUGUUAAUUUAUCACAUAUUAAUGUAAAAUUAAAAUAAGCUCGUAUACUAUGUUCUCUGAUGUUCUUGUUAUAAUUGUGGGCCUUCUGUUAAGUAAACAGCAGUAAAUGCCUGUGAGUUUUGAUUUUCUGAUGUUUUCAUCUAAUCCAUUUUUUAAAUUUGUCAUUGGAUUUAAAGUAUUUUCAUUGCAAAUGUUACAUACAUAAUUCAAUAAAAGACCCCCCAAAAAAUCUGGUUACUCAUACCAAUAAUUUUGAAUGGCUCCUUUCCUUUCCUUGUUUUUGCAAAAGAGGAAACACCAAAAGCUGGGCUGUCAUCAACAGCUCAAGCAUCAGCUGCCAUUGUGAGAGCUCCACAGACUGUCGUGUGUCCUCACAUGAAGACU
rnacentral:lncRNA from 1 species